rnacentral:lncRNA from 1 species
UGUGUUCCUUGCAUGGUACACAUUUAACAGGCCACAUAAAGGAUAUUUGAGCGUAUUAACACCUGGUUUUAUUAAAUAUUAUCAUCGAAUUGUCGAAAUAAAAACGAUUCCCCGAUAAUUAGACUAUGGCAUAAAUAACGACAGAGGGUUCAAGACACAAGAGACUGACCAGGGCGAAGGUUAGGGGAAUUCUUUAUGAAGGGGAUUGGGGAGAAAUACUCCCAAUACCAGGUAAACACGCCCACACUCCCGCAAGAAUCCUCUGAUGGACCCCACCUCACACUUCAAUCCGCCUUCAAAUUGUUUGUGAAGAUGCAGAAUAUGAGAGGAAUUUGAGUUUAGCACAAACGCAGCGUGGAAGAUUGGGCCAGAAUGACCAGGCAGCAGCCGUAUCCGCUGUUACCGAAGCAGGUAUUUUCUCAUGUAUCACGAGGGGAUAAAUGCGUCAAACUGAAUCAGCGCCUAUUGGGAAGAUUGAGGAGGAUUUGGAAACAGAAAACUCAGGGUAUAGCCUUAUGUAUUGUGUGUAUGAUAUAAAAGAUAUCCACAGAACCACGACUGCAAUAUAGGCCUACACUCAGAUAAAAAUGUGCCAUCUACAAUCUAAUAGGAUUCUAAAAAGUUCUCUCCUUUGGUGACAGCCAAAGAACCCUGUGGAACCCCUUUCUCAAAGAGUGUACUCAACUAGCUUAGCCUAUUAAGUUUAUACCAUUUCAUUCUGCACUCAAACAUCUGCCAGCUAUUCAAGAUAACACGCAACAUAGCAGCACCACCACCUUUUGAAGGUUUUCAUCAACCUCUGCUCAGACUUAAAUCGCAGUGUUCCAAGAACCUCCACCAGGGGUGACUGUAGUAUCCUCAAACGGACAAAAAGGAGACACGAAAGGCACCCCACACUCAUUUUAGAUGCCAAUGGGUCUUUAUUUUCAUACUGUAUGCUCUCACUCUCAUCACCAUCUCCUUUGCCAUCUUAUCAAGUCUUUACUUGGAACUCCAUACAUACGCACGCGCGCACACACACACACACACACACACACACACACACACAAUAGCAUCUUGCUUACAUUUCUCACAUUUUAGGCAUCCAGCUGAGGCCUUGGAUGGAUCAUGUUACACUGAGAUGGCACAGGGGCAUAUGUACAGUCAUUUUUUGUGUGGUGGCAAAGAGGUUGAACAGGAGAAGAGGAUGUGGUUACUUAUGGAGGGAGGGCAGUGGGGGUGGUGGGUUGAACAUCUGCAGUGAAGCUGAUUGGUUACUCUGUCUCAUCCCAUCUUGACUAAAAUAAAGAUUUAGAAAUUAAUUCAACAUUGCCAUAGUUCAACAGCUGAAAAGCCGUCAUUAACAUACACCCAGAGAUAGCAAUAUAUUCAGUAUUCACUGAAUGAAGUAGCCUACCCAUCCCCAUUUACAAUCAUAUUCAUCAAUGUAAUAAAUGAUACUAUAGCACAUUCAAUUACAUUAUUAUUGUAGACUAUAGACUACUCCUGUAGUAGCAGGACCUUGUACAAUAAUUGUACAAGGUACAUUAUUGUACCUUGUACAAUAAUGUAAUCAUUGAAUGAAAUAGCGUACCCAUCCACAUUUACAAUUGAAUUGAUCAAUUCGAUAAAUAAUACUAGCACAUACAGUUGCAUUGUUGUAGAAUAGGCUACUACUGUAUCCACACUAUAUUAGGAUAACGUUGUGAUAUUGUCAGGCAUGAUUUUAGGUCUUCCAUCGAAGUUGCUUGUUGUACCUCGUUUCCCUUCAGUUAUUUCAUUUACAAUUGAAUUAAUCCAUUAAAUAGAUAAUACUAGCACAUCAAAUUACGUUAUUGUACACUAGCCUACUCCGCUAUUGACACAGUAAAUUAUAUUGCCUACGUGCUUUCGACAAUACGUUAACAAAAAAGUAUUAUUUUCAAAUAAACCAAAUUUGCCUUAACACAGUAGACCUAAAUAUUUCCUAACUUAAAUAUAGCCUGCUUACUCCUCAAUUGGAUCAAGGACAUCUUGGUAAUUAGUUUCCUUAUUCGAGAAAAGAUCUGGGGCAGACACUCACUACUGCCGCUUGUAAAAAACAAAUAAAUGUCGUGUCACCGCCGAGCUCUCAAAUACCGUGCCAGUCUCUCACUCUAUGAACGGUCACUGCAUUCCGGAUUCCUUGGGGCGUCCUUACCCUAAACUAACACUAAACAUAACCAAUUUACGUUUAUACUUGAUAGAGGUAUGGACAUCCUAAAGAUCCCGUAUAGCACGGACCCUCUGGGAAAGUCUAUGAACUGUUCUAUUCGACUGAAGGGACAUCCCAAGGAGUCUGAUUAGCAACUAUUAACUCCUCUGAAAGCCAUGGCCACAACUCUUAUUGGUUGUCUGAUGUGGAACUGGUAACAACACAGUCUGUGAUUGGCUAACAACAUUUAGAUCUGUAUACAGCGAGAUAAGAUAACAUGCCAUGCCAUGAGGUGUUGAGGGAAAGACAGAUUAUCUAUAGAUCGGGCAUAAUCUUUUCUUGGCCAUUAGCGAUAACAGGAAAUACACAAGCCGUAGCCUACACUAUAGUUCAAGGUGGCUUUGUACUGGAAAAAUUGUACGUUUCUAACAUUUAUGGUUGAGAUUUAAUUAAUAUAAAUAUAAACUACGCACAUUAUGACUUUCAUUAACACGCGAUGCAGGCAUCAUGCAGACGUUAGUAAGGCUUUGGUAUCAUGUCAUGUCAGGUGGUACGGUUGCCUAGGCUUAUAUAUGUCCCUUAUCACCCCCCAUACAGCUGUGCUGUCCAGCCAUAGCACCUCUGUGCAGCCUCACAUUUUGCUACUCUCAUGCACUAGCGGUUCUGGGGGGGGGGGGGGGGGGGGGCAGCACCCCUGUGGACCCCCUUGUGGCCCCCCUAAAUGUGGAGUAUGAACUAAUUUUUACAUAACUAAUUUUUGCUAUCGUUAUUUUUUUUACAUCCGUUAUUAGACAGUGGCAACGCAGAACACUAAUGAUUAUGAACAUGGUCUUUUGCCUGCUAAUGCCUGCAAUGCAGUGAAGAAAACGAUAUGACACCAUUAACGUCUAAUGUGACUGGCCCCUCUAACAGUACAACUGGCCCCAGCUUGGCCCCCCCCCAGUUGAAAUGGUCUAGAACCGCCACUGCUCUCAUGGCUAAUUGGAUGCCUGUACAAAUAGCGCUAAAUUGGAUCAGUGAGUGUUGCUCCUAGGAACUCAGUGCAAUCAUGUUGAUAUAGGUAACAGCUUAGGACUAUCUACUGAUCAUUUCAUUACAUUGAAAGAAUGCCUAGUACAGUAAUGUGUAGUGUGUAGCCUAUUGGAAAUAGGCAGCAAUAUAUUUUAGAUCAUUUUUCUCCCCCAAAAAAGCCUUUUUCAUAAUUAGAAACUUCAAAAUUGUUUAGUUGUGUGUUGACUGUGUUUGUUUCUUUCAAUGUGUAGUUUCUAUUUUAGACCUUCACAGCAAUAGGUAGGCCUGGGUAUCUAUUUAAUUUCGGAAUGUGGAAUUUACAUGAAAGGUUUUGCUCUCUUGUGUCAUCUGGUGGUUGCUGGGGAUUGGCUCUCUAGGAUGCAGCCCUAAUACAUGUAGUGAAAUAUACGUAUAAUGUGAAUAGUAAACCAUACAAUAACUACAAUACAAUUCACAAGCGAACAGUCUACAUGUUUUCAAAUAGCUAGUCCUGUUGUAGAAGAGAUUAGAAUUAAGAUUAAAGUUGUUUGAUUAUACUACAGUGUUUGGGUAGCUAUCAAGAAAUGUGCAUCGAUGAAGAAGAAUCUAAAAGUAGAUUUUAAAAGCAAAUUGAACGCGGAUGUUAUUUUUAGGAAACUUAAAUUCCCAAUAAGGGAUAGCCUACCAGACUAAGA